ACCUGUAAGAUCUAUAUCUAUUGUGUCUGAAUCCAGAACUAUUUCGUCCGUUGAAGUGAUCUAGGGCAGUCCGUCGUCAGUAUACCUCUACCUAUAUACCUCAAGAGUGAAGAUACCUCAUUUUGUCAGGUUUAUCUGUUUAUUGUGAGUACGGAAAGUCAUCUGAGUCUACAUAUCUAGUAUCUACAAGCUGACCGUUGGAUCGAGUCACCUUGUCAGGAAAGGUUUGGUGUGAUGUGAGGCGACCAGCCAUGAACAUAUAGCCAAUGACAGUAUUUACUCUGAAAAACUCUGAUUUAUGCCUAUGGAGUCAGCAAAGGCAUCUUCGUAUGUGGACUAUAUACAUGUGUAUUUACUCUGAAAAACUGUUUUAUGUCUGUGGAAUCGACAAAGGCAUCGUCGUAUGGGGACUGUAUACAUGUCUUGAUGGACUUAGUACUAUUAGUUGGUGAAACUAUUACACUGUACUAUACUAUUUCAUCGUCAAUGACAUGAGUGAUGAUUAGAACACUGUAUACCGGAUAUUUUCUUACCAAUAACUGUAUUGGAACUGUACAUAUUGUUUUCUUGGUGUCAACAUUCAACUACAGUGUGAACUUUGUGACAUAGGAACAUGGACAAUUUUACCAGGAACUGAUGAAGAUGGGAAACAUGAUGAUGUCCAUCAAGAUCAAGAUAUAUGUUUGUUUUGUCUUUCCCCAAAAUUUUGGCCAUGUAUAUUGUACAGACAUGACAGUAGGGAUAGUGUUUUAGACUGAAAAAAAAAAAAUUGACAAAAUUUUUUUUUGAUAAAGGGGGGAGGAAAUAUGUAAUGACACAAGAUGCGUAGAAGUUGAUGUGAAUCGGGUUUUUCCUAAGUAAUGUGACGAGUAAGAACAGAGUAGGAUAAUGAACAAGAAGAAUAACGGACAAGACGCCUAAGAGGACGACGCUAGGCUAGCGACGACAGAGGACUGUGCCCUUUUUAUUGUUUAUUAAAUUGUUGAAGUUAUCAGCCUGCGUUAUUAAGUAUAUUCUUGAUUCAUUCUGUUGUUGUGUCAUAUGGACUCGCAUGCACCAGUAACAUAUAUAUACUCAUCAACAAAAUAGACCAUCAACAACUACUAGAUCUAGUUUUUAAAUCUAGUAACUAGAUCUAGACUACUCAAGACAAAUCUAAAAAAGUAAAAUCUAAUAUAUAUGACGAAUGUCAAUCCAGAAUUCUAGAAUCUAGAUAUAUUAUAUAAUAUACUAGAAUAUAAUAUACUAGACAUAUGUUACCCGCGGGUCUUUAUUUGCGCAUUACUGUCGAUAUAGUCACUGAGAGUGUUUUGUAAACAAUUAAACGAAAUAACAAUGUAAUAAGUAAAGCGAAUGUGUCAAUGUAAAAAUAGUGUGAAUGAAGCUAUUAAAUCAAAAUAGCUAAUAGGCUUAAUUAAAUCCAUUUUUUUUUCAAAUUAAAACAUUUGCUUGUAGGCCUACAUAUAUCUGAUUAAAAUUUGAGAUGAAUAGACUAAAUUUUGUAUGUUCAUGUGUAUAAAGUAUAAAGUAGAUCUUGAGGUAGACGUAGAUCUAAAUCUACACUUAUCUAGAGUUCUGUGCUGCGCAUGCGUAAACUUUUUUUCAUGAAUGAAUAUAGGCCUAUCUCAACUCGGCUACGCAGCUUUAGCGAACAGCGAACGAAUGUAUUAAAAAUGCUUUAGAAAAACAAAUUUGAAUGUUAAUUUGAUUAAAAUAUCAAAUGAAUGGACAAUAAUUAGUAUGUUUAUGUGUUAAAGCAUAAAACUAUCUUUGCGAAAAGAAGUUUUAUCAUCUUAGAGUUCAGUAAGAGUUUUAUACCUAGGCCUAGGAAUAGACUCAGACCUCAGAAGAGAGAUGUGUUAAUGUGUAAGUGUAACCAUUUGGUAAUGUCUAAUGAAAGAAUGUUCGCCAGGAAAUCUGUAGAUAUCAGGAACUAAUUUAUGUAAAAAAUGCUUUUGAAUAAUCUAGUGGAUUGGAUAUAUAUGUAUGUUAAACUUAGCUAAUGAUCCUUUCAAAUUAUUUCUCUUUCGCUACGAAAAUAAAAUUAGGUUUGCGAAAAUGGGUUUACCCGAAGUCGAUACAUUCUUAUCUAUUAAAAACGAAAAGAGCGAUAGCUUUGUUAAAUGAAUGGGAUUAUAAAGUGAACAAUUAAACGAAAUUAUAUUUAGUACGCGAUUCAUGAAUGAAUAUAGAUCUAGGCCUAUCUCAACUCGGCUUCGCAGCUUUCGUAGGUGAAUGUAGCUUUAGAAAACCAAAUUUGAAUGUUUAUUUGAUCAAAAUAUGAAAUGAAUGGACUUUAAUUAAUAUGUUUAUGUGUUAAAGUAUAAAACUAUCUGUGCGAAGAGAAGUUUUAUCAUCUUAGAGUUGAAUUAGAGUUUUAGAUCUAGGGAUGGGAUUAUAAAGUAAACAAUUAAACGAAUUAAUAUUUAGUACGCGAUUCAUUACGGAAUUGUCUAAUGAAAGAAUGUUCGUCAGGAAAUCUGUAAUCACAGAUAUAAGGAACUAAUUAAUGUAAAAAAUGCUUUUGAAACACAAAAUUGAAGGUUAAUUUUAUUAUAUAAUGAGAUCAAUGGAUCUUCUUUUGUCUUUUCAUGUGUCAAAGUAAAAAACUAUCUGCGCAAAGUGUAUUUCUUAAAAUUAGAUCUAGGUCUAAAUCCUUUCUAUCUUUUCUCAUGUCAACAUUGUAGACAUGGCCUAGAUCCAUAAAAUACUAUAGCUUUAAUAGAGUCGGACAACUUUUUUUUUUUUUGAGGGUAUUAAGUUUGUUUUAGGGCUACAAUACAUACACUACGGUCUAAGUUGGUACCCAAGGAACAUUCCUGCCUAGUUUUAUCAAGAUUGGUCAAGCGGUUUUGAUGUCUAUAAGUAACAUACAUCCAUACAUACAUACCCCUCACAUUCUACUUUAUAAUAUAGAUAUCAUAUCAUAUAUAGUAGAUAGAUCCACUAAGAAUCCACUCUACUCAGCUUUAUUGUACUAUCAGUCCAGACCCUAUAGAGUCAAGGGGGCAAGCAGGCCAUUAAAUUUGUUAAAAAGAAAAAAGAAACGUGUCUUUGUGAUUAUCAUCAUUGUGUCUGAGUAUUUUCUAUAUAUAGGUAGUGAGUUCGAAAUCCGCGUAUAAACACCGGAAGUAGUAUUCCAUUUUUCAUAUAAAACCUGCAUAGGUCCAUAAACUGUUGGCUUGUUUUUAUUAAAAUGAAGAUCAAAUGACUGCAUAUUUUUGUUUUUAUGUUUGUCAAUUGAAAUAAUCCGAGUUUCAACCUUUUUUAAAAAGGCUCAUCUGGCACUGAACACUAUAUUUUUGGACAAGUUGGCAGAAACAAAAUUAUCCAUGAAAACAAGAGCUUUGCUAAAACAUAUAUACAUCCAUCACUGUCAGUACGUAUUUAAAUCCAUCUCAAUCGGCCCCCUAUUUAUAACCAUCUAUGAUUUGAAUAAUUUCUUUUU